rnacentral:rRNA from 1 species
GAUGAACGCUAGCGGGAGGCCUAAUACAUGCAAGUCGAGCGGUAGAGUGACUUCGGUUGCUUGAGAGCGGCGCACGGGUGAGUAACGCGUACAUGACCUACCUUUAAGACUGGGAUAGCCCUGGGAAACUGGGAUUAAUACCGGAUGUGAUAAUACGUAUAGAGAUGUAUUAUUAAAGUUGAGGCGCUUAGAGAUGGAUGUGCGUCUGAUUAGCUAGUUGGUAGGGUAACGGCCUACCAAGGCGACGAUCAGUAGGGGGCGUGAGAGCGUGGCCCCCCACACGGGUACUGAGACACGGACCCGACUCCUACGGGAGGCAGCAGUAAGGAAUAUUGGUCAAUGGACGGAAGUCUGAACCAGCCAUCCCGCGUGCAGGAUGACUGCCCUAUGGGUUGUAAACUGCUUUUAGCAGAGACGAAACGCCUCCUAUUAUUGAGGGUCGUGUACGGUACGUCUUCGCAGAAUAAAGACGACCGACCGUACUACCGUCG